rnacentral:rRNA from 1 species
UACGGAGGGUGCGAGCGUUGUCCGGAAUCACUGGGCGUAAAGGGCGCGUAGGUGGCUUCUCAAGCGCGCGGUGAAAGCCCGGGGCUCAACCCCGGGUCGGCCGUGCGGACUGGGAGGCUCGAGCACUGUAGGGGCGGGUGGAAUUCCGGGUGUAGCGGUGGAAUGCGUAGAGAUCCGGAAGAACACCGGUGGCGAAGGCGGCCUGCUGGGCAGUGGCUGACGCUGAGGCGCGACAGCGUGGGGAGCAAACAGG